rnacentral:misc_RNA from 1 species
GCAAACUUGGUCAUUUAGAGGAAGUAAAAGUCGUAACAAGGUAACCGUAGGUGAACCUGCGGUUGGAUCAUUACGAAUCAAACCUCUGCCCGUCGCGCUGGCCAUUCGGCCGCGCCUCGCGGUGGACAAACACCCAUGUGCACCUUUGACGUCUUUUGGCGGUCCCCUCGUAGUCUCGCGCGAGCGAGGCGUCGUUGUGCGUGGAGGCGACUUCACGCUCUUGGGCCGCCAGCAGUUGAAAAACACCCAGUAUUUUUUUUGCCUGAAACCAAAUGAGAAGCAAUGAGAAACAACUUUACACAACGGAUCUCUAGGCUCUCGCAUCGAUGAAGAACGCAGC